GUGCUCGCUUUGGCAGCACAGAUACUAAAAUCGGAACAAUACAAAGAAGAUUAGCACAGCCUUUGUGCAAGGGUGACAUGCAAAUUCAUGAAGCAUUCCACAUUUUU
rnacentral:snRNA from 1 species